GUAGUUCAAAACUGCGGCGGCUGGGGGCUGGCCGCGUCUUCAGCGCGACCCUGGAGCUGGGGAGAUGAGGUCUCACUAUAUUGCCCUGGUUGGUCUCAAACUCCUGGCUUCAAGCAGUCCUCCUGUUUUGGCCUCCCAAAGUGCUGGGAUUACAAAGGCUGGAAUGCAAUGGCACGAUCUCGGCUCACGGCAACCUCCGCCUCCCAAGCUCAAGUGAUUCUCCUGCCUCAGCCUCCCGAGUAGCUGGGAUUACAGGCAUGCGCCACCAUGCCCAGCUAAUUUUGUAUUUUUAGUAGAGAUGGGGUUUCUCCAUGUUAGUCAGGCUGUUCUCAAACUCCCGACCUCAGGUGAUCCACCCGUCUCGGCCUCCCAAAGUGCUGGGAUUACAGGCGUGAGCCACCACGCCCAGCCUCUUUUUGUUUUUAUUUUUUUCUUUUUAAUUUCUUAACAGUGCAGGGUUUGGUAUUUACCCGCUAUGCUCACACCUCUCUCCUGGCUUUGGGACACUGAGAAGAAGUGAUGCUGGGCCUGCUGGAGCCAUCUUGCAUCUGCG